GGGGGCUAACAAAAUUACACCAAAUGGGGCUUAACAAUUAUCACCCUUUAAAAAAGUUAUACAAACAGGUGUAAAGGAGGUAAGUGUUAACCCUUAAUUGUUUUAUUCCUUUACCUCCAAAUAAGCAUCAGUGUCAUCCAAGGUGAGCGAGGCGACCCUCUGUCGCCUCGACUGGAACACCUGGCUAGACUUUGGGGAGGCCACGCCUCAGGC
rnacentral:misc_RNA from 1 species